CACAGAAUGAAGUCUGUGAGGAGAGAAACCCAGCUUCCUUACACCAAGUCAAACGUGGUGGGCGGCCAAAGUACUGGAGCAGAUAAGUUGGAAAGGCAGAGUCACCCCAUAUCUCAACUGGAAAUCCGACUUCAACUUUUCAUGUUUGGUACUUUUUCUCAUUUAUAGAAGAAUCACAUAAAAAUAGGUAUUCUGUUUCUCAAACCAAAAUCAAAAUUAUUUUUACUUUCUGACAUUUAUCCUUUGAUAUCAAUUUCUUUCUGGUGAGUAUUGUAUUCUGUGUUUCCUUUUUAUCCAAGAAUCAAAGUGGUCAUUUGAAGCCUUUUCUAGUCAAUCCUUUGAUUAAAAUAAAGGUCAUUUAAAAUGUCAGAAGUGAGCCCUUCACAUGACUUCAACUUCAGUGACAAUGAGCAGACUUGGUCUCCCUUUC
rnacentral:lncRNA from 1 species